CUAUUAGAAAUGAAAUAUAUACCGUCACAUUUAUAUUUUAAACUAGAGUGCCUUUCUCUUUUUUAGGCCAAUGGAAGCAUUGUUGUGAAGAACUUAUGAAAAUUGAGAUUAUGUCACCACGGAAACCACCUUUGUUUUUGACAAAAGAGGCAACCUCAGUCUACCAUGAUAUGAGCAUUGAUUCACCUGUGCAACUUGAAAGUUUAACUGACAUAAUACAAAAAAAAAUUGAAGAAACAAAUGGACAUUUCAUUACUGGUCAGGAUGAAGAGGUCUCACCACCUCCUUGGGCCACAAUAUUUGAUGGUAAUCAUAAAAUGGAUAUCCAGAAAAAGGAGUGUUUUAGCUCUUCUGUGUCACUUGGCUCUCCUCACAGCUGGAGCUCCUUGAUCCCUACUGUAGGACUCUGCAGUAUGUACUGUUCUCCCUGAGCAAGCCUGAAUCCAGGCAUCGCCUAGGAAAAGUCUUCUAAUGGGGUUGUGGUGCCAUGCUUGCUAACAACUUGCUCUCUUCUGCUACUCCAAGCCUAUCCUGGACAGGUGUCAUGGUCUUAAGCCAAGAAUUUCUACCAAAGUCCUGUCCCUGUCCCUCCUUCCCAUCCCUGGGCCUCAUUAAAAAGGGAACACAGAGCCUACUACUUUGCAAAUGCCAUUACUGGAACUACUAAUAAGCUGAGAUAAACUAGAGGGAAGCUGGAUACAGAGCGUUAAAGGAAAGAGAUGUCAGAAGUCUUUGCCCAUCACCAACAGGUUUAGGAAUAAAAGACAUAGAUUCAGACUAUAAAGAAUAUUUUCCACAUUUCCUGAACAUCCUGCCAUCAGUUAUCAACUUAACACAUCACUAAGUCUGUUCAUCGUUCUAAGCACCUCUGAAAUGCGUCCACUCUCCCAUUUCCCCGUCCCAUCAUGACCACCACCUUGAAACUAGACAGCUUUCAGUCUGCCUUCACACAGCAGCGCGCUAGAAAGUGAUACAAAAGACAAAUUUGAUCACAUCACCUCCUCACUUAAACAUCUAUUAUUGCUUAGGAUAAAGACUAAAAUGCUCAUUUUGAUCUGUUGAGACCUACUCAGCUGGCCCCUGCUGGCCCCUCGUGACAUCUCCUGAUCUCCUUCCCUCAAUCCUAUAAUCCUGCCACACAGGUUUUCCUCCUCUCAAUUUCUGUAAGCAGCCAAGCUUGUUCUUGCCUCAGGGCCUUUGCAUAUGUGGUAUCCUGUGCUUGAGUCACUCCUUUCCCAGUUCCCUCUUGCCUCAUUAACUCAUGCUCACCCUUCAUUAUCAGUGUAGUUACUACUUCCUCUUUAUGUGUCACUUCAGUCAUUAUGCGUCCUUCAGAACUAGGUCAUGUUAAAGUUUUGAUUAACACCCUCCCAUAAAGUUAUAAACUUUAGAGACAAUAUUUAUCUUUUACUUACCACUAUAUUCCCAGUUCCUAACAUAAGUAAAUCUUUG
rnacentral:lncRNA from 1 species